GACAGCUAUCAAGGUGGUGGGUCUAAUGAUGGGAACAAUAAUUAGUGAUUGGAUAUCUUGUGGUGUUUUUAUGACUUGUUGUAUUUUAAUUCUGUCUUUUAUCAUCCUUGUUUUAUGUUCUGCAUGACUUAUUUGGUUCUUUGUGUUGCAAUAUUUGGACAUCUUUUGUGUGGUUUAAUGUUCACUUUUCUCUUAGAUUUUAU
rnacentral:lncRNA from 1 species